UACGUAGGGGGCAAGCGUUGUCCGGAAUCAUUGGGCGUAAAGCGCGCGUAGGCGGCUACUUAAGUCGGAUGUGAAAGCCCCUGGCUCAACUGGGGAAGUGCACCCGAAACUGAGUGGCUUGAGUACUAAAGAGGGUCGCGGAAUUCCCGGUGUAGAGGUGAAAUUCGUAGAUAUCGGGAGGAACACCGGUGGCGAAGGCGGCGUCCUGGCUCGCAUCUGACGCUCAGACACGACAGCAUGGGGAGCGAACGGG
rnacentral:rRNA from 1 species